rnacentral:rRNA from 1 species
GACGAACGCUGGCGGCGUGCCUAACACAUGCAAGUCGAACGGGACUAGGGGCAACUCCAGUUCAGUGGCGGACGGGUGCGUAACACGUGAGGAACAUGACUUUCGGUGGGGGAUAGCCGGCCCAACGGCCGGGUAAUACCGCGUACGACCUGUCGGGGACAUCCCCGGUUGGUGAAAGCAGCAAUGCGCCGAAAGAGUGCCUCGCGGCCUAUCAGCUAGUUGGUGGGGUAAUGGCCCACCAAGGCGACGACGGGUAGCUGGUCUGAGAGGAUGGCCAGCCACAUUGGGACUGAGACACGGCCCAGACUCCUACGGGAGGCAGCAGUGGGGAAUAUUGCGCAAUGGGCGAAAGCCUGACGCAGCGACGCCGCGUGUGGGAUGACGGCCUUCGGGUUGUAAACCACUGUCGGGAGGGACGAAUGCCCCGCAAGGGGAGUGACGGUACCUCCAAAGGAAGCACCGGCUAACUCCGUGCCAGCCGCCGCUGUAACAC